GCGUUCGUAGUGUGGUGGUCAGCACGCUCGAUGCGCAACUGAGAGCUUCGUGGUUCGAUUCCCGGCGAAGGCG
rnacentral:tRNA from 1 species